UGCGGAGGAUCCAAGCGUUAUCCGGAAUCAUUGGGUUUAAAGGGUCCGUAGGCGGGCAGUUAAGUCAGGGGUGAAAGUUUGCGGCUCAACCGUAAAAUUGCCUCUGAUACUGAUUGUCUUGAAUUAUUAUGAAGUGGUUAGAAUGAGUAGUGUAGCGGUGAAAUGCAUAGAGAUUACUCAGAAUACCGAUUGCGAAGGCAGAUCACUAAUAAUAUAUUGACGCUGAUGGACGAAAGCGUGGGGAGCGAACAGG
rnacentral:rRNA from 1 species